rnacentral:misc_RNA from 1 species
CUAUUAAGCAAAUGCCAAUGUGUCAAAUAAAAAAAAAAUUCAACUUGAGAGAGCUAAAAAUUAAAUUAAAAUAUUUUAAUUUUGUGCCUACAAGACUUGACAUUUCAUACCAUAGUAAUAAUGGAAAAAGGAACUAUAAUGAAGAUCUAUCACCCUUAUUAGAAAGGUUCAACUUCGAAAUUGCUUAUUCCUGUUCACAAUUAAAAAGAAAAUAAAAUACAACAUAAUUGUACUCCAAAUACACAUUGCAAAUUGCCCUCAUCGACUACUACAAGUAAUAUGAGAUAUUGUAAAUACAGAAUCAGAAGAAAAGUACUUUAAACGAUAAAAGCAAAGAUAAAAGUGAAGAUAGAACAGAGUAGAGAGUUGAUCAACUUACAAGAAGGAGAGAAGUAUAUUUUGAAGUGGCUGAAUAAUCCUGUUGAAUAAUCCUUUCUUUUUAUUUUAGCUCUGCCGUUAUAAUUAUAAACACGGUAAGAAUCUCUACGUUGAAUCAUAUAUUGGAUUGAUUAUAUAAUUUUACUAAAAUAAUUGGGCUAAAGGGAAGAAAGUACUAACCUGUGGAAUCAGAUGAUCCUACUUCUCAUGAUAGUAAAUAACGGCCCCCUUUUUGAAUAUAACGAUAAUCAAUCCUGAUAUUUGGAAUGUGAGAGAUGUUGGGCCAAUCUGCAGCCAUA